AACGCGAAGAACCUUACCUGGCCUUGACAUCCAUGGAAUUCUGCAGAGAUGUGGAAGUGCCUUCGGGAACCAUGAGACAGGUGCUGCAUGGCUGUCGUCAGCUCGUGUCGUGAGAUGUUGAGUUAAGUCCCGCAACGAGCGCAACCCUUGUCCUUAGUUGCCAUCAUUCAGUUGGGAACUCUAAGGAGACCGCCGGUGACAAACCGGAGGAAGGUGGGGAUGACGUCAAGUCAUCAUGGCCUUUAUGGCCAGGGCUACACACGUGCUACAAUGGCAGGUACAGAGGGAAGCCAACGCGCGAGCGGGAGCCAAUCCCAGAAAGCCUGUCGUAGUCCGGAUCGGAGUCUGCAACUCGACUCUGUGAAGUUGGAAUCGCUAGUAAUCGCAGAUCAGCAUUGCUGCGGUGAAUACGUUCCCGGGUCUUGUACACACCG
rnacentral:rRNA from 1 species